CGUAUAAGAAGAGUCACUCUCUUCCGGUGUUGUUGCUGCACGCCUGCUACAUCAAAUAUGAGUCCAACCAUGAAAGGUAGAAUUUCUACGGUUGUAGGCCUCGCCCAGCGGUUAUUCCACAUUGGGUUUAUACCACUUGUGUUGUAUCUAGGUUAUUCACAUGGUCCAGAACCAGGCAUGCCAGAGUUUAACCUUCUCAGCCUGUUUCUCACUUUUUAAGGCAGAUACCUGGGAUUUCCACUGUCACUCCAAGGCGCUUGUUCCAUUCACUACUACUAGAGGGCAGAACUGAGGCUUGUUCCAUAUACUACCACUAGGAGGCAGUGCUUAGAUCCAGGUCGACACUAGAGUGCGUUCACAGAGGAGACCACCAUAUCUAUGACCUUUGAUAUGAUAACAUUAUUUCAGAGAUAAACUAUGAACCAUUAAUGAUGUUAUAGGAAAAAAAAAACACUUUCUGGGAAGUAACAAGAUUUCCCUUUCCUGGAAAUGAAUGAGAAAAACUUGUUUUGUGAAAACUGACUCUGCUGCAAAUGUCACAUGUCGCUGUGACCCGAUCACUUCAUAACGAAACAUGAAAAGGAAAAAAAAAAUUACAGAAAACGUAAACAAAGGCUUUUUGUCUUUCAUUUAUUUUCUAAGUUGAUAAUUUUUGGUGUAAUCUAACAUCGUAAAAUAUGUGUUGUACAUGUAAAUUGUUCUUCAUCGUAAAAUCAUUGUGCAAGAUUAUGUAAGAUGAUCAGUUAUAUUGUAUAGAUUAUUUUGUACAUAUUUCAGAAUUUAUCUUGAACUGCUUUCUCAUUCAUAGGGAUGGCGGUUUAAGAAUAAAUCUCAGACGGGGAAAUUAA